rnacentral:rRNA from 2 species
UUAAGCGACUAAGCGUACACGGUGGAUGCCCUGGCAGUCAGAGGCGAUGAAGGACGUGCUAAUCUGCGAUAAGCGUCGGUAAGGUGAUAUGAACCGUUAUAACCGGCGAUUUCCGAAUGGGGAAACCCAGUGUGAUUCGUCACACUAUCAUUAACUGAAUCCAUAGGUUAAUGAGGCGAACCGGGGGAACUGAAACAUCUAAGUACCCCGAGGAAAAGAAAUCAACCGAGAUUCCCCCAGUAGCGGCGAGCGAACGGGGAGCAGCCCAGAGCCUGAAUCAGUGUGUGUGUUAGUGGAAGCGUCUGGAAAGGCGCGCGAUACAGGGUGACAGCCCCGUACACAAAAAUGCACAUGCUGUGAGCUCGAUGAGUAGGGCGGGACACGUGGUAUCCUGUCUGAAUAUGGGGGGACCAUCCUCCAAGGCUAAAUACUCCUGACUGACCGAUAGUGAACCAGUACCGUGAGGGAAAGGCGAAAAGAACCCCGGCGAGGGGAGUGAAAAAGAACCUGAAACCGUGUACGUACAAGCAGUGGGAGCCUCUUUAUGGGGUGACUGCGUACCUUUUGUAUAAUGGGUCAGCGACUUAUAUUCUGUAGCAAGGUUAACCGAAUAGGGGAGCCGAAGGGAAACCGAGUCUUAACUGGGCGUUAAGUUGCAGGGUAUAGACCCGAAACCCGGUGAUCUAGCCAUGGGCAGGUUGAAGGUUGGGUAACACUAACUGGAGGACCGAACCGACUAAUGUUGAAAAAUUAGCGGAUGACUUGUGGCUGGGGGUGAAAGGCCAAUCAAACCGGGAGAUAGCUGGUUCUCCCCGAAAGCUAUUUAGGUAGCGCCUCGUGAAUUCAUCUCCGGGGGUAGAGCACUGUUUCGGCAAGGGGGUCAUCCCGACUUACCAACCCGAUGCAAACUGCGAAUACCGGAGAAUGUUAUCACGGGAGACACACGGCGGGUGCUAACGUCCGUCGUGAAGAGGGAAACAACCCAGACCGCCAGCUAAGGUCCCAAAGUCAUGGUUAAGUGGGAAACGAUGUGGGAAGGCCCAGACAGCCAGGAUGUUGGCUUAGAAGCAGCCAUCAUUUAAAGAAAGCGUAAUAGCUCACUGGUCGAGUCGGCCUGCGCGGAAGAUGUAACGGGGCUAAACCAUGCACCGAAGCUGCGGCAGCGACACUAUGUGUUGUUGGGUAGGGGAGCGUUCUGUAAGCCUGCGAAGGUGUACUGUGAGGUAUGCUGGAGGUAUCAGAAGUGCGAAUGCUGACAUAAGUAACGAUAAAGCGGGUGAAAAGCCCGCUCGCCGGAAGACCAAGGGUUCCUGUCCAACGUUAAUCGGGGCAGGGUGAGUCGACCCCUAAGGCGAGGCCGAAAGGCGUAGUCGAUGGGAAACAGGUUAAUAUUCCUGUACUUGGUGUUACUGCGAAGGGGGGACGGAGAAGGCUAUGUUGGCCGGGCGACGGUUGUCCCGGUUUAAGCGUGUAGGCUGGUUUUCCAGGCAAAUCCGGAAAAUCAAGGCUGAGGCGUGAUGACGAGGCACUACGGUGCUGAAGCAACAAAUGCCCUGCUUCCAGGAAAAGCCUCUAAGCAUCAGGUAACAUCAAAUCGUACCCCAAACCGACACAGGUGGUCAGGUAGAGAAUACCAAGGCGCUUGAGAGAACUCGGGUGAAGGAACUAGGCAAAAUGGUGCCGUAACUUCGGGAGAAGGCACGCUGAUAUGUAGGUGAAGUCCCUCGCGGAUGGAGCUGAAAUCAGUCGAAGAUACCAGCUGGCUGCAACUGUUUAUUAAAAACACAGCACUGUGCAAACACGAAAGUGGACGUAUACGGUGUGACGCCUGCCCGGUGCCGGAAGGUUAAUUGAUGGGGUUAGCGCAAGCGAAGCUCUUGAUCGAAGCCCCGGUAAACGGCGGCCGUAACUAUAACGGUCCUAAGGUAGCGAAAUUCCUUGUCGGGUAAGUUCCGACCUGCACGAAUGGCGUAAUGAUGGCCAGGCUGUCUCCACCCGAGACUCAGUGAAAUUGAACUCGCUGUGAAGAUGCAGUGUACCCGCGGCAAGACGGAAAGACCCCGUGAACCUUUACUAUAGCUUGACACUGAACAUUGAGCCUUGAUGUGUAGGAUAGGUGGGAGGCUUUGAAGUGUGGACGCCAGUCUGCAUGGAGCCGACCUUGAAAUACCACCCUUUAAUGUUUGAUGUUCUAACGUUGGCCCCUGAUCGGGGUUGCGGACAGUGUCUGGUGGGUAGUUUGACUGGGGCGGUCUCCUCCUAAAGAGUAACGGAGGAGCACGAAGGUUGGCUAAUCCUGGUCGGACAUCAGGAGGUUAGUGCAAUGGCAUAAGCCAGCUUGACUGCGAGCGUGACGGCGCGAGCAGGUGCGAAAGCAGGUCAUAGUGAUCCGGUGGUUCUGAAUGGAAGGGCCAUCGCUCAACGGAUAAAAGGUACUCCGGGGAUAACAGGCUGAUACCGCCCAAGAGUUCAUAUCGACGGCGGUGUUUGGCACCUCGAUGUCGGCUCAUCACAUCCUGGGGCUGAAGUAGGUCCCAAGGGUAUGGCUGUUCGCCAUUUAAAGUGGUACGCGAGCUGGGUUUAGAACGUCGUGAGACAGUUCGGUCCCUAUCUGCCGUGGGCGCUGGAGAACUGAGGGGGGCUGCUCCUAGUACGAGAGGACCGGAGUGGACGCAUCACUGGUGUUCGGGUUGUCAUGCCAAUGGCACUGCCCGGUAGCUAAAUGCGGAAGAGAUAAGUGCUGAAAGCAUCUAAGCACGAAACUUGCCCCGAGAUGAGUUCUCCCUGACUCCCUGAGAGUCCUGAAGGAACGUUGAAGACGACGACGUUGAUAGGCCGGGUGUGUAAGCGCAGCGAUGCGUUGAGCUAACCGGUACUAAUGAACCGUGAGGCUUAACCUU